rnacentral:lncRNA from 1 species
UUGUUAGUGAAAGUCCCAAAUUUUCAAAUCUCACAUCUUCGAUGUGGGUAUUCUUGUAGAUCCAAUAUCAUUCUUGAAUGAGGGAUAUGGGUGACAAGGUAUUUGUGAACAAUAAUUAGAUGUUUGAUUAUUCCUUUACAUUAUCUUAGAAUUAUGGAUGAAUUGUGAAGUUACUAUAAAUUGAGCAUCUUCCUAGAAAUUGGGAUACCUAAUUGAGGUUUUGGGUU